rnacentral:piRNA from 1 species
CUUGAAGGGACAGUACCCGAGC